CAAUUAAAUAUCAUUGCUGCUGCCGAAAAGUCUAAGAAUCAAAAAAAAAAAAGAAGAAGAAGAUGAAGGUUGUACUAUUAAAAUAAAAUUAUAUUGUUUAAUAUAAACGCUGUACUUUUUGAGAUGAAAAUCAUACUAUUUGAAAUAAAAGUUGCACGUUUUCGAGAAAAUUGCAUUAUUCUCCGACCAUCAUCAUCUCAUCAUCUUUUUCUUCUUUCCUCUUCCCUUGACCCCUUCUUCCCCUUCUUCCCCUCCUUUCUAACCCCCAUCCUCACCAACACGAGUAUCUCUAUCCCGUGCGCCGCAUCGGAGUGCCGAAAUACAAAAACGACCUACCUCUCUUUUCUUUUUUUUUUCUCUACGACCCUCAUUGCCUCCUCCAUCGUCACCACGGCCCUUGGCAAUAGUAACAAGAGCGGCGCCACAUCCUCUUCCUCUAUUUCCUCCUCCGCCGGCGCCGGCAGUUCUCGGCGACGGUAACGAUGGCGGCUUUAAUAUACCAAAACUUCAGUAAAUAAAUAUCGAACUUUAGCCAAAAUGACUAAAGUGUAAGGUUGGUAUGCUUCGGAAAGGCCGAAGGCGUCAAAAUAAGUAAAAGUG
rnacentral:lncRNA from 1 species